rfam:Ictidomys tridecemlineatus contig048267, whole genome shotgun sequence.
GGGAUUGUGACUUAGUGGCAGAGUGCUUGCCUCACAUGUAGGAGACACUGGGUUCGAUCCUCGGCACCA